rnacentral:rRNA from 1 species
AUUGAACGCUGGCGGCAUGCCUUACACAUGCAAGUCGAACGGCAGCGGACCUUCGGGUGCCGGCGAGUGGCGAACGGGUGAGUAAUAUAUCGGAACGUACCUUUCAGUGGGGGAUAACGUAGCGAAAGUUACGCUAAUACCGCAUAUUCUGUGAGCAGGAAAGCAGGGGAUCGCAAGACCUUGCGCUGAUUGAGCGGCCGAUAUCAGAUUAGCUAGUUGGUGAGGUAAAGGCUCACCAAGGCGACGAUCUGUAGCGGGUCUGAGAGGAUGAUCCGCCACACUGGAACUGAGGCACGGUCCAGACUCCUACGGGAGGCAGCAGUGGGGAAUUUUGGACAAUGGGCGCAAGCCUGAUCCAGCCAUGCCGCGUGAGUGAAGAAGGCCUCGG